ensembl:snRNA U6 U6 spliceosomal RNA
GUCCUCAUUUCAGCAGCACAUUUACCAAAACUGGAAUGAUACUGAAAAGAUUAGCAUGGCCCCUGCAACAAGGACGGCAUGCAAAUUCGUGAAGCGUCCCAUAUUAAA